ACAGUUUUAACUCUUAUAUAACAUUCAAGCAACUGAUUGUAUUCCCUAUCUUCUUCUUUUUUUCACUGAAGCGUAGCUUCUUCUUCAUCAUUUUUGUAUGUUUUGAGUGUAGCAAAAAAAUUACACAAGUUUAAGUCUCGCAUCUAUUCAUAUUUUUUUCCUUCUUAACUUAACACUCUAAUUCUUUUUGCAUGAUUCAGGUUGGAGAUGGUGUUUAAGAGAUUCCUGUGUUCAAAACUUCUUUUUUCGAAAAAAGAAACUAAGAUCUUUCUCAACAACUUAGAAAGGAAAACGAGAGUAAAAGACUCACCUUAAAGCACAACUACAAAGCCCCAAACAAGCAACACCAAGAAGAGGAAGAAGAAAGAAACAUGCGGUGAACUAGAAAGCUACGAACGGGGCAUAAUAGCGUGGUAGGGGAAACGACAACGACCCCAUGACUUGAUCAAGAUCAAGUCUUAUGUUAGUUUUCCAUUUUUAUGUUCAUAAAGUGGCAUUAAUUUUGUUGACGUACGGAUCAAAAUAGAGUUUUCUUUUUUUCUGAAUGAUAUAGUAUAUCAAGUUUGUAGCUUUCCUCUGAAAUAAAAAUGGGAGAAGAAUUAUAGCAAUCAAAAGGAAGAAAGGUAGAUGAGCACAAGAAAGAAAACUCAUUAUACAUACAUAGGAAAAAAAAGAUGGGGAAGAAUGUAAAGUUGGAGCAGCUUGAUUUUACCAUUAUACAAUAACGACAAAGCUUUUUUUUUAACAACGAACAACGACAAAGAUAUGAUGUGUCUAAGUUUUCAACCUUUUUUAUUUCAUCUAAGUUUUCAAUUCUAUGUUUACUGCGUCUAAUAGUGAAUUCAAUUUAAAUUAUUCCAUCCUGUUAGUUUUGAGUAUUACUUUUUACUGAAAAAUAGAUCUCAAUAGAUAAAAAAAAUGUUCAAUUAAUAUACAUUUGUAUAUUGAUAUAGUUUGUUAGAUGUAAAACUAGCAAAAUACAGUCAAAUGAUGUGAAUAGUUAAGGUUGGCACAUUAUUAAUUAUUCUUCUUCAAGAAAUUUUAGUUCCCUCAUUUUUUAUAUUAGUUAUUUAUUUAUUUUAAAAUAUUUUAUAAUAGUUUUCAAUUUUUUCUUAUGUUAAUUAAUAAUAACUCUAAAAAUAACUUUUAAUUAUAUAAAUGUAUUUAUAAUAUUCUUUAGUUUAUAAAAUAUAUAAAAAAUACUAUAUCCGUGCAUAGCACGGGAGAUAAUACUAAUAUAAUGUAUUACUGGUGUGAGACCCACUAAUCAACCAUAGUUUUUGUUUUAUAUCUCAUCUGACAUUCACUUAUUGAUGUAGGGUAGAUAUGAUUUGAAUCUUCUUAUCCUUAUUGUUAAACAAGCACCAACUAUAAUUAAAUCACUAUCGUAUAAAUGCUUGUCAUCACACUAACCAUGGUUAAAUUUUUGUUGUAUAGUUAAUCAUAUGAUAUGAGACCCACUAAUUAACCAUAGUUGAAUUAUAUGUUCCAUUAUGCUAACCAGAUUAUUUUAGUUGAAUCAUUAGAAGCUAAAAGUAAAAUAUAUCAUUUUACCAAACAGUAGAAACCUUACAAGAGACAAGAGGACGCAUCGCCACCGUUAAAAACCAUCACAGAAACUAGAGAUCGAACGGUAACUAACAACAAGAAAGAAAAAGUUGCGAAUACAGCAAAAAAAGAAAA